CCUACGGGAGGCAGCAGUGAGGAAUAUUGGUCAAUGGACGAGAGUCUGAACCAGCCAUGUAGCGUGAAGGAUGACUGCCCUAUGGGUUGUAAACUUCUUUUAUAUGGGAAUAAAAUGUUCCACGUGUGGGUUUUUGUAUGUACCAUAUGAAUAAGGAUCGGCUAACUCCGUGCCAGCAGCCGCGGUAAUACGGAGGAUCCGAGCGUUAUCCGGAUUUAUUGGGUUUAAAGGGAGCGUAGGUGGAUUGUUAAGUUAGUUGUGAAAGUUUGCGGCUCAACCGUAAAAUUGCAGUUGAUACUGGCAGUCUUGAGUACAGUAGAGGUGGGCGGAAUUCGUGGUGUAGCGGUGAAAUGCUUAGAUAUCACGAAGAACACCGAUUGCGAAGGCAGCUCACUAGACUGCAACUGACACUGAGGCUCGAAAGUGUGGGUAUCAAACAGGAUUAGAUACCCCAGUAGUC
rnacentral:rRNA from 1 species